GACGACCGCUGGCGGCGUGCUUAACACAUGCAAGUCGAACGGAAAGGCCCUGCUUUUGUGGGGUGCUCGAGUGGCGAACGGGUGAGUAACACGUGAGUAACCUGCCCUUGACUUUGGGAUAACUUCAGGAAACUGGGGCUAAUACCGGAUAGGAGCUCCUGCUGCAUGGUGGGGGUUGGAAAGUUUCGGCGGUUGGGGAUGGACUCGCGGCUUAUCAGCUUGUUGGUGGGGUAGUGGCUUACCAAGGCUUUGACGGGUAGCCGGCCUGAGAGGGUGACCGGCUACAGUGGGACUGAGAUACGGCCGAGACUCCUACUGGAGGCAGCAGUGGGGAAGAUUGCACAAUGGGCGGAAGCCUGAUGCAGCAACGCCGCGUGCGGGAUGACGGCCUGCGGGUUGUAAACCGCUUUCGCCUGUGACGAAGCGUGAGUGACGGUAAGGGGUAAAGAAGCACCGGCUAACUACGUG
rnacentral:rRNA from 1 species